CUCCCUGUGGUGUAGUUGGCUAUCACGUCGGGCUGUAAUUGUGCAUUUCACCUGAAGGUCACCGGCUCGACUCCGGUCGGGGAGA